rnacentral:rRNA from 1 species
UACGUAGGGUGCGAGCGUUGUCCGGAAUUAUUGGGCGUAAAGGGCUCGUAGGCGGUUUGUCGCGUCGGGAGUGAAAACCAGGUGCUUAACACCUGGCUUGCUUUCGAUACGGGCAGACUAGAGGUAUGCAGGGGAGAACGGAAUUCCUGGUGUAGCGGUGAAAUGCGCAGAUAUCAGGAGGAACACCGGUGGCGAAAGCGGCUUCCUGGUCCGACACCGACGUUCAGGCACGAAAGCGUGGGGAGCAAACAGG